rnacentral:rRNA from 1 species
GACGAACGCUUUCGGCGUGCUUAACACAUGCAAGUCGAACGGAAAGGCCCUGCUUUUGUGGGGUGCUCGAGUGGCGAACGGGUGAGUAACACGUGAGUAACCUGCCCUUGACUUUGGGAUAACUUCAGGAAACUGGGGCUAAUACCGGAUAGGAGCUCCUGCUGCAUGGUGGGGGUUGGAAAGUUUCGGCGGUUGGGGAUGGACUCGCGGCUUAUCAGCUUGUUGGUGGGGUAGUGGCUUACCAAGGCUUUGACGGGUAGCCGGCCUGAGAGGGUGACCGGCCACAUUGGGACUGAGAUACGGCCCAGACUCCUACGGGAGGCAGCAGUGGGGAAUAUUGCACAAUGGGCGGAAGCCUGAUGCAGCAACGCCGCGUGCGGGAUGACGGCCUUCGGGUUGUAAACCGCUUUCGCCUGUGACGAAGCGUGAGUGACGGUAAUGGGUAAAGAAGCACCGGCUAACUACGUGCCAGCAGCCGCGGUGAUACGUAGGGUGCGAGCGUUGUCCGGAUUUAUUGGGCGUAAAGGGCUCGUAGGUGGUUGAUCGCGUCGGAAGUGUAAUCUUGGGGCUUAACCCUGAGCGUGCUUUCGAUACGGGUUGACUUGAGGAAGGUAGGGGAGAAUGGAAUUCCUGGUGGAGCGGUGGAAUGCGCAGAUAUCAGGAGGAACACCAGUGGCGAAGGCGGUUCUCUGGGCCUUUCCUGACGCUGAGGAGCGAAAGCGUGGGGAGCGAACAGGCUUAGAUACCCUGGUAGUCCACGCUGUAAACGGUGGGUACUAGGUGUGGGGUCCAUUCCACGGGUUCCGUGCCGUAGCUAACGCUUUAAGUACCCCGCCUGGGGAGUACGGCCGCAAGGCUAAAACUCAAAGGAAUUGACGGGGCCCCGCACAAGCGGCGGAGCAUGCGGAUUAAUUCGAUGCAACGCGUAGAACCUUACCUGGGUUUGACAUGGAUCGGGAGUGCUCAGAGAUGGGUGUGCCUCUUUUGGGGUCGGUUCACAGGUGGUGCAUGGCUGUCGUCAGCUCGUGUCGUGAGAUGUUGGGUUAAGUCCCGCAACGAGCGCAACCCUUGUUCACUGUUGACAGCACGUUAUGGUGGGGACUCAGUGGAGACCGCCGGGGUCAGCUCGGAGGAAGGUGGGGAUGACGUCAAGUCAUCAUGCCCCUUAUGUCCAGGGCUUCACGCAUGCUACAAUGGCUGGUACAGAGAGUGGCGAGCCUGUGAGGGUGAGCGAAUCUCGGAAAGCCGGUCUCAGUUCGGAUUGGGGUCUGCAACUCGACCUCAUGAAGUCAGAGUCGCUAGUAAUCGCAGAUCAGCAACGCUGCGGUGAAUACGUUCCCGGGGCU